GGAACAAGGUCUCACCAUGCUGCCCAAGCUGGUCUGAAAACUCUUGUCCUCAGGCAGUCCUCCCACCUCGGCCUCCCAAAGAUCUGAGAUUACAGGCAUGAGCCACCACACCUGGCCUUGGUUUUAAUUCCUGUCACAGUAUAUUAGUUUUCGCUGUUGUGUAUUGAUUGAUUGAGACAGGGUCUCGCUCUGUUGCCCAGGCUGGAGUGCAGGGGCAUGAUCCCAGCUCACUGCAACCUCCACCUCUUGGAUUCAAGUGAUUCUCCCGUCUCAGCCUCCCGAGUAACAGGAACCACAGGUGUGUGCCAGCACGCCUGGCUAAUUUUUUUUUUUUUUUUCUUGAGGUGGAGUUUCACUGUUGUUGCCCAGGUUGGAGUGCAGUGGCACAAUCUCAGCUCACUGCAACCUCUGCCUCCUGGGUUCAAGUGAUUCUCCUGCUUCAGCCUCACGAGUUGUUGGGAUUACAGGCGCCCGCCACCACGCCCAGGUAAUUUUUGUUUAGUAGAGACGGGGUUUCACCAUGUUGGCCUGGCUGGUCUCGAACUCCUGACCUCAGGUGAUCCACCCACCUCGGCCUCCCAAAGUUGUGGGAUUGCAGGCGUGAGCCACUGCGCCUGGCCUAAUUUUUCAAUUUUUUGGUGGAGAUAGGGUUUCACCAUGUUGGCCAGGCUGGAGUUUUGCCUGUUCUAGAAGCUUGUAUCAGUCAUACAACACCCCUUUGAGGAACCGUUUGAGGUGUGGCACGAUACAGCAAGUCAGCUGCCAAAGAGGGGCUUAGCCACAGGAAGUGCGUGCCCAGAACGCAUCUCCCGUGUCCCUCACAGCAGUUCUAUGAGGCUGGCUGCCCUGUUUGACAACUGAGGCCCGCAUCUUCCCCGGAAUCACCGACGUGUGGCUCUGAGCCCUGUCCCAGGGAUUUUCUCCAUCAGAGAAGAGGAGCACUUUGAGCUUUGAGAGGAGCAGCCCUCUGCAAGUGAAGUGGAAAAAAAGGAAGCAGGCGAGGAGGCCCAUCCAGACCCUCCCCCAAGACCCUUGCUGAAAUGGCUGGGAUGCGGCGUGCAGAAGCUCUCCUUUCCUUCACAGCCCCUGGCUUUCCAAGAGUCCCUGCCCACCCAGAUGCCCGCUGGCAGAUGCAGCCUCAUCUCAAGGACACUGCUUGCUGGAUAAAUCCCUCACCACCCUAGAGACAGCCCACGGUCCUGAGACAAGGAUGCGGGCCAGGCUUGUUGCACGUAAGCGCCUCCCGCAGAAACCAGUGAGGCCGGAGUUCCAGAGGAAAUGAUGUAGGGACAGAGGCAGAGGGCCUCCAGGAGGCACCAGCCCCAGAGUCUUCCCUAGAAUCAGACUUUAAGCACAAGCAGGGAGGGAAAGCACUUGAGCAGUGCCCGUCCCUGCAUACCUGGCCUCUGCUGGAACCCAUGCAGGGACAGGACACUUCUUUAUCAGCAAUCCUGUUCCUCUCCUGGGCAGCUUCAACCUGAACAUCCUCCUUCACCUUGAGCUAAAAUGGGUUUCUUGUCACCCUUGCCCAUCAAACCUGGCCUUGCCCUCAGGAACCACACAGGACAAGCCUAAUACUUCCUUCUUGUGGCAACACUUUAGCAAUUGAGACCUGGCUGUCAGGUCCUCCAAAUAAACAUUUGUGACUGUGAU
rnacentral:lncRNA from 1 species